AAAGGGGUUAAACAACGGAUAAGCAAUGAUAAGGGUGGCUAGAACAGGCUCAAGGUACCAAACAAAUUGCCUCGUGUGUACAUCACAACAAUAAAUCAAUUAAAGAGAACAUGCGCAAAUUCUAGAGACAUAGCUAAGUGUGGAAUUCUCAUAAUCAUCAAAAGAAAUCAGUGUUUGGGUUCAAAAUCUCACAGUUUUUGCUGAAUUAAACUAUGGUCAAUAUUUGUGAGAGUCCCUAAGCCUUGCCUAAAUCAUCACUAUGAUGCAUCCGAAACAAUCAAAAACAUCACAAAUUCAUAUCACACAUUUGGUCAACAAUUUUGAAUCUAAGAUGAUAGCCAAACAACUUUCAAUAGUGUGAAGUUUUCAAAAAGACUAAAACAUUCAAAGAAAACAAAACGACUAGCUCAAGUACUUAUUAUAGACCAACACCAAGCAUGCAACAAAUUAAACAAAGGAAUCAAAAUACACAGGCCAAAAAGAAUCUAUAGAGGAGAAGGACAGUAAAGGUGAAUGGCACAAAACCUCAA
rnacentral:lncRNA from 1 species